GACGAACGCUGGCGGCGUGCCUAAUACAUGCAAGUAGAACGCAGUUGCGAACGGGUGAGUAACGCGUAGGUAACUGCCUGGUAGCGGGGGAUAACUAUUGGAAACGAUAGCUAAUACCGCAUACUACCAGAUGGACCUGCGUUGUAUUAGCUAGUUGGUGGGGUAACGGCUCACCAAGGCAACGACACAUAGCCGACCUGAGAGGGGGAGCGGCACCGCUGGGACUGAGACACGGCCCAGACGCCUACGGGAGGGGACAGUAGGGAAUCUUCGGCAAUGGACGGAAGUCUGACCGAGCAACUCCGCGUGAGUGAAGAAGGUUUUCGGAUCGUAGAGCUCUGUUGUAAGAGAAGCAGUAUCUUACCAGAAAAGGACGGCUAACUACGUGCCAACCACCGCGGUAAUUC
rnacentral:rRNA from 1 species